CCGGGCCACCGGCUCCGCUCCCCGGCAGAGGCGCCGCCCGCGCUCUCCUCGCCCCGCGGCGAGCGGGACCCGCCGCGUUCGUGAACAGCGCGGGCGCCGCCUCCCGCGGAGGGAGCCGGGCAGCGGGGCCGGAGCGCGGUGCACACGGCCGGCAGGAGGCGACCCCGGGCUCGGAGCGCAGCUGCCAUGGGCCCCCGCGGGAGGGCGCGCGGUGGCGGGGGCACCCGCUGCCUCAGGGCAUCUCCCGGAGUCCUGGAAUGGUUUGGGUCAGAAGGAACCAUCCAGUUCUCACCUCUUCACCGUGGGAGGCAGCGUUAGGGACACCUGCAUGGCUCACGUUGCUCAAAGCCGCAUCCAGCCUGCCCUUGAGCUCCUCCAGGGCUGGGGCAUCCAUGACUUCUCUGAGCAACCGGUGCUAGUGCCUCACCACCCUCCCGGGUUUGGAAUGCUGUAAGGAAAGGUUCAAUUUAGAUCUCACGAGUGGAGUUCUUCCCUGGAGAAGACAAAAUAUCAAUAUUAAAUUAGUGAGCUGUCAGACCAUAGAAGACUUCUAUGACACUGUUGACCAAGAUGAUAACACUAAUGAAGAUUUGUUCUGAUGUCUGUGUCUUCUAAGCAGUGAAUGCUGGGAGCAGCAGUUAGAGGUGAUAUUGUCUGUGACUGUCCAGGCAGGAUCUUUAGAACUCCUGACUGGAUGCAUUAAACAUUGGACAUCUGAAAAGCAGCCAAAUUCUGUAGUGAAGUUACAGUUUAUUCAUAACUGUGCGUGGAAGAAAGUGGUCUACACCAAAGAUGAAUUUGACCAUAUAUGUGUUCCGCUGUUUGAUGGCUCCUGCCGCUUCCUUGAUCCAAAAACGCUACAGUCCCUUCAGCACUGCCAGUGUCUCUUAAACAACCUGGGCAGAGUCUUAAACUGUUUACAAAGAGAACAACAAGAGCUUACUGACAAAGGUUUG